CGGGGAUGACAUGUGGUUAGGGGUGAAAUGCCAAACGAGUUUGGAGAUAGCUUGUUCUCUCCGAAAUAACUUUAGGGUUAGCGUGUGGUGAUGACGACCGGAGGUAGAGCACUGAAUGGGCUAGGGGGCUGUGAGCUUACCGAACCCAAUCAAACUGCGAAUGCCGGUCGGUGAACCAUGCAGUCGGACGACUGGAGAUGAGUUCAGCCGUCGAGAGGGAAAGAACCCAGACCCCCGGUUAAGGUCCUGAAGUUCAUGCUCAGUGGGAAACGAUGUGGUCGUGUUGAGACAGCCAGGAGGUUGGCUUAGAAGCAGCCAUCCUUGAAAGAGUGCGUAACAGCUCACUGGUCGAACGCGACUGCGCGGAAAAUGGAACGGGGCUGUAAGCAUGACACCGAAACCAGGGACUUGCGUAAGCAAGUGGUAGGAGAGCGUCCCCACAGCGGUGAAGUCGCACGGGCAACGUGCGGUGGAGUGGUGGGGAGUGAGAAUGCGGGCAGUGAGUAGCGAG
rnacentral:rRNA from 1 species